UGAGUGUGAUGUCUGCCCAAUGUCGGCUGGAUAACGAAUUUAUCUUGAUAUUUAUUUAAGGUUUUGAAGGAUACCCCGAUCAAUGGCGGCCUUACCUAUGAGGGUCCUAAGGUAGCGGAAUACCUUGGCCGUUAAAUGCGGUCUUUGCAUGAAUGACUUAACGAUACAACAGCUGUCUCGAUGAUUGUCUCAGUGAAAUUGGAAUAGCAGUGCAGAUACUGUUUACCUCUAGAUAGACGAGAAGACCCUAUGCAGCUUUACUGUUACUAAUUACAAGAGAUUACUUUAAGUUAAUUGCGAGUGUAUAAGGUAGUCGUAAGACAAUAAUGAAACACCUUUAUUUGUACUUAUUAUCUACUCUUGAUGAUUAGGAGGCAGUUUAUGCGGGGCACAGAUCCCACAAAAAGUACCUGGGUAUAUCCAAAGUUCAUAUUGUAAAUUUGUAAAUUUAGUUACAAAUAUUUUAAUUUGUUAUUAAUUAUGUUAAUAAUAAUACAGUUAUUAUUAGAUUAAAUUCAGUAUAUUUUUUAUUUUUAGUAAGAUUUUAACUAUAUGGUGAAUAGAUGUAUUUUAAGUUAAAUUUUUUUAUUUAGCUUAUUUUUAUAUUAAUAUUGUAUAUGUUCUUUAUUAAUAUAAUUUUUAUAUAUACUAUAAAAGUUUAAUGGCUAAAUCUUGCUUUACUGUUUGACUUACAAGUCUAUCAGUCGCGUAAGCGGGGCAUAUGAUCACAAGAUGCAUAAAGGAAAGGUCUUGGAUUAAAGAAAAAGUUACGCUAGGGAUUUAGCUUAAGUCCCCUAAUAUCAUAAGAUAUUAUAUAUAAUUUGGGUAA
rnacentral:ncRNA from 1 species